GUGGGCAAUUGAGAAGGUCACAGCUGAGCGCGUCUGGUGGUGGGGAGCCCGGCCUGAGAUUCAAAACUUGUUGCAGGAAAUUCCACAAGUCCAAACGGUGCUAUUGGACCGGAGAGGAUUUGGUAUCAUGACACAAGGUGAAGAAAGAUAUGGGUCUUUUCCUGUGCUCUCAGAGUGAAGUUGAAUCAUGCUGUGUAGACAGCCAGCUCUGCUGUGGGGCCAUCCACUGGCUCUUUGUGCCCACGAUUUCAAAGCCCACCAUUUAUUUUCCCUACGUAGCCGAGGGAGACUCCGGUAUUAAAAUACCCCGUUCAACAAACAAGUCAGAUGACUUCCAGGGACCUGAGCAUCAGGCAAUCGAGGUGACUACACAGCAAAUUGGCAGAGUUCGGCACGUCAGAAACCCAGCUAUGGAAUGGCUUUUCCCAGAGUCACUGGGGAACCUUGUUGGAAGGCUUAAGAAAAAAAACCUGGGGCUUUACUCUAGCUUCCAGCUGAAGUUUGGAAGUUCCAAAGGAUGGUGAGAGUAAACUCAACAGUGUUUUGGACUGCAAACUUCCCAUAUCUCAAUUUAAAGACACCUUGGGGACCCAGGUGAACCUUGGGGACCAAGAAUGAAUUAUCCAUGGCCCGUUGCCAAAGCAGAUAGAUCCACAGUCCUCCCCACCGUCAUCGGUACCCCCAACUGGCUUCUCCAGUGGCCAUUGCUGUUACCAGAGGUUUGCUUAUAAAAAGAGGAAAAAGAAAGGAUGA